ACGGCUCAGUAACACGUGGAUAACCUGCCCAAGGGUCUGGGAUAACCCCGGGAAACUGGGGAUAAUACCGGAUGGAUCACUAGUGCUGGAAUGCUUGGUGGUCGAAAGGCAACGCCUUUGGAUGGGUCUGCGGCGGAUUAGGUUGACGCCGGUGUAACGUACCGGCGUGCCUGUAAUCCGUACGGGUUGUGGGAGCAAGAGCCCGGAGAUGGAUUCUGAGACACGAAUCCAGGCCCUACGGGGCGCAGCAGGCGCGAAAACUCUACAAUGCAGGCAACUGCGAUAGGGGGACAUCGAGUGGCAUCCACCUUGGGUGCCUGUCCAACCGUCUAAAAAACGGUUGUUAGCAAGGGCCGGGUAAGACCGGUGCCAGCCGCCGCGGUAAUACCGGCGGCUCGAGUGGUGGCCGAUAUUAUUGAGUCUAAAGGGUCCGUAGCCGGCUUUGCAAGUCCCCUGGGAAAUCCAGCGGCUUAACCGUUGGGCUUUCAUGGGAUACUACAUUGCUUGGGACUGGGAGAGGUAGGAGGUACUCGGGGGGUAGGGGUGAAAUCCUGUAAUCCUCCGGGGACCACCGGUGGCGAAGGCGUCCUACCAGAACAGGUCCGACGGUGAGGGACGAAAGCUAGGGGCACGAACCGGAUUAGAUACCCGGGUAGUCCUAGCCGUAAACGAUGCCCGCUAGGUGUCACGACAGUCGUGAAUUGUCGUGGUGCCGUAGGGAAGCCGCGAAGCGGGCCACUUGGGAAGUACGGCUGCAAGGCUGAAACUUAAAGGAAUUGGCGGGGGAGCAC
rnacentral:rRNA from 1 species